rnacentral:misc_RNA from 1 species
GAAAUGCGAUAAGUAAUGUGAAUUGCAGAAUUCAGUGAAUCAUCGAAUCUUUGAACGCACCUGGCGCUCCUUGGUAUUCCUUGGAGCAUGCCUGUUUGAGUAUCAUGAAAUCUUCAAAGUAAAUCUUUUGUUAACUCAAUUGGUUUCUACUUUGGUAUUGGAGGUCUUUGCAGCUUCACACCUGCUCCUCUUUGUUCAUUAGCUGGAUCUCAGUGUUAUGCUUGGUUCCACUCGGCGUGAUAAGUUAUCUAUCGCUGAGGACACUGUAAAAGGUGGCCAAGGUAAAUGCAGAUGAACCGCUUCUAAUAGUCCAUUGACUUGGACAAUACUUUUAUGAUCUGAUCUCAAAUCAGGUAGGACUACCCACUGAACUUAAGC